AACGAACGCUGGCGGCAGGCCUAACACAUGCAAGUCGAACGAUAUAGUGGCAGACGGGUGAGUAACGCGUGGGAACGUACCUUUCACUACGGAAUAGCUCCGGGAAACUGGUGGUAAUACCGUAUACGCCCUCAGGGGGAAAGAUUUAUCGGUGAAAGAUCGGCCCGCGUUGGAUGAGCUAGUUGGUGAGGUAAUGGCUACCAAAGGCGCCGAGCCAUAGCUGGUCUGAGAGGAUGAUCAGCCACACUGGGACUGAGACACGGCCCAGACUCCUACGGGAUGCAGCAGUGGGGAAUCUUGCACAAUGGGCGAAAGCCUGAUGCAGCCAUGCCGCGUGAAUGAUGAAGGCCUUAGGGUUGUAAAAUUCUUUCGUCAGGGAUGAUAAUGACCGUACCUGAAGAAGAAGCCCCGGCUAACUUCGUGCCAGCAGCCGCCGUAACAC
rnacentral:rRNA from 1 species